AGAGCGAACGCUGGCGGCAGGCCUAAUACAUGCAAGUCGAACGGAUCCUUCGGGAUUAGUGGCGGACGGGUGAGUAACACGUGGGAACGUACCCUUUGGUUCGGAACAACUCAGGGAAACUUGAGCUAAUACCGAAUGUGCCCUUCGGGGAAAAGAUUUAUCGCCAUUGGAGCGGCCCGCGUCUGAUUAGCUAGUUGGUAGGGUAAAGGCCUACCAAGGCUACGAUCAGUAGCUGGUCUGAGAGGAUGAUCAGCCACACUGGGACUGAGACACGGCCCAGACUCCUACGGGAGGCAGCAGUAGGGAAUCUUGCGCAAUGGGCGAAAGCCUGACGCAGCCAUGCCGCGUGAAUGAUGAAGGUCUUAGGAUUGUAAAAUUCUUUCAGCGGGGACGAUAAUGACGGUACCGCAGAAGAAGCCCCGGCUAACUUCGUGCCAGCAGCCG
rnacentral:rRNA from 1 species